rnacentral:rRNA from 1 species
CGUAGGGGGCAAGCGUUGUCCGGAAUUAUUGGGCGUAAAGCGCGCGCAGGCGGUCAAUUAAGUUGGGUGUUUAAGCCCGGGGCUCAACCCCGGUUCGCAUCCAAAACUGGUUGACUUGAGUGUAGGAGAGGAAAGUGGAAUUCCACGUGUAGCGGUGAAAUGCGUAGAGAUGUGGAGGAACACCAGUGGCGAAGGCGACUUUCUGGCCUAUAACUGACGCUGAGGCGCGAAAGCGUGGGGAGCAAACAGGAUUAGAUACCCUGGUAGUCCACGCCGUAAACGAUGCAUACUAGGUGUCGGGGAUUCGAUUCCUCGGUGCCGAAGUUAACACAGUAAGUAUGCCGCCUGGGGAGUACGCUCGCAAGAGUG